GGGAAGGGUUUUUUCUUGGAGAUCCCUCUUUGGUGAGGCUUUCCCUUGUGAACCUGUAAUCUUCUGAUAUGGUGCUGCUUGUACAGCUCAGUGUGAGUCCGAAGCAGCGGCGAUUGGAGGGCACUUACUUCCAACCAUGCUCUGAGAUGAGAUUGUGAACAAAUCCCAGUCACUGUUAUCCAAACCUGGAUCGUUUAAUCAACCCCAAUGAGCUCCCAGAUGCAGAACACUGCUUUAAUUCUUCUGAGCUGGAUUAAAGGGAACACAUGCCAAUGGCCCCGCGCGGCAGUGACAGAGCAGCCAUAACUCACUGCUACCAGCGAGCUCCGACUAUUUAUUUAUUGAGUUCAGCCAGCAGACUUCUAAGUGAUUUAGAUGUUCCCCAAGAUAAAAACAGUGGAGUAGUCAGGGGCUUUGCAAAUCUAGCGUUGCAUCAGCAGCUGAAAGGGAACAAGAGGGAGGGCAGGGAGGGGGAAGCAGCUUGUGCGUAAAUGAGCACAUUUUGGUUUUCUUGCUGACCGAUAUUAGCAAAGACAGUGAGUUGUGCUGCUCUUUAGGCACGUCCCUUAUUUGUUUUCAGUACAGGAAAGGAGGCAGUAUAGGGAGGACGGGACGGAGCAGCACACGAGAUGCCAAAUCAAAAGGCAAGUUAAAAAUGGUGUGGAUUAAAACAAGGGAGGCCUUGGGGAGAGAGGAAAAAAUAAUUGGUUCCUAAAGGGAAUAAAAACAUCACCUUCAGAGGAUGACAGGAAUUCCUCAUGUAGGGGAUUUAGCAGUGAAGGACAGAUUCCUCCUCCCCCCCCCUUUUUUUUUUUUUUGUUUUAUUGCUUAAAGGCAAAAUAUAUGUUAAGCCUGACAGGCAUUUUUGAACUUUGAACUCUCUGACCUUUGAAGCCUCCAAAAUGAACCUGGGCUGACUCCAAAGGAAUGGCAACAAAUGGCAGAGUCGGUCCCCCUGUUGGCUUCACUUCUCCUUUACAAUCCACACAAGGAAAGCUGUGUCUCGCCCCGGUUUGCACCUUUCCUCCCUCUUUCCUCCUUCCCUCCGCUGCUGCCUGGGGAACAUGAGACAAUCCUGUGUAAUUUAUGGAUAUUUUCUGAGUUUAGAGAUAUUGAACAAAAAAAUGUAUAUAUAUCAUGGGAUGGGAGCUUAUCCUCCCAUCGUGAGAACAGUAAAUGUCAGACAUUGUCCUUAAACCUGGAAGUCUGCAACAGACACAGUGCAAGAAGAGUGAAGGGAAAGUACAUGGAGCAAAACCUCUCACCUCUUCUGCACUCGGAUUGCUGGAGCAUUUCUGCGUUGAGAAAUAGGAGAACGAUGUUUGCAUCCCCCCCUGAGUUUUGCUGCUGCCUCCCUACCUGUUCUAUGUCCCCAUAAAGUGUAAAAUAGUGCCAUCUACUGGCGCUACAUUUCAGUGCUCUCUCCGAAUGGUUCCAACGAGCGCCGGGCACUCAGCAGACCUCAAGAGUUGAUUUUGUAUCCCUUGGCUACUGUGUUAACUCUCUAACGCGUUGCUUGGGUGGCACUAAAGCAGCCGUAGACCAACGAUUGAGAUGGGUGUUGGUCUCUGAUGAUGCCAAAGUCAAAGGGUAAAAAUGAGCUUAGCCCCAAAUGUAAAAUUCUAUCAUUCUAUCACCUUGCUUGGAGCUGCCAUCACCCAAAAGCCAACCAGAGGAGCAACCCAAUGUUGCACGUGCUCACCCAAUACCAGUGAGGGGGGGUUAUUUUUAAAUACAUACGUAACUCAAGUUUUUAAAGUAUAUAAACUGUAUGGAAGGUGUGCGCUCAUCUCAGGACAGCCUCAAUUUCGGAAUAGCUUGUGCAACCUACUGUGUUACUUCCCAGAAGGUGUUCUCCCACUUCCCAGCAGAUUUACCCCAAAAGCAUCCUUUGCUGUAACUCCUAUGUGGGUGAGGCACACGCAGCCCUCCCAGGCUGGCUCCUGCAAGCUGCUCAGCUCUCCAAUCCCUCCUCCAUCCUCCUACCCAUCACACUGCAGCACGCUUUGGCUCCUUAGCCAGAAGUCCUGACGUGACAAAUGAAUCUGUGUAACUUUCCAUUUACCAGCCUCCUCAAAGAGGAUAUGCAAGUGUGUGAUUACAGCGCGUUAUCAGAUACCAGCACUGGGAUUUUUCCCUCUCCUGUUGUUUUUAUGAUGACGAUGAGUUGUUACAGUCUUUAUUUUACAAGACAGCACUCAUUGGCUGGGCCAUCGGAGCAGGGUCACUGAUUGCUGUGACAUCCCUGCAGGUAUAAAGGCUGGUGAUUUAUGGCAGGGGAAAUUCAUAUUAACCAUAAAUAUCUUAAUAACUAGCUGUGAGGGGGAGAGAGCAGGCUGUGCAUCCAGCUCAGACUAAUUGCUGUUUAAUGGGCAGUGUCUAAAACUCUCUGAAACAAUGCUCCUGGCAGAGGGUGUUGCUGAGGUUAUAGAAAGGGCUUUUAAUCUGCUAGAGGAAACAAGGCACUGCAGUGCGACUGCUGCCCUGGGCUUAGCCCUGCAAGCCUGUGUCCCUUGGGAGCUGGUUAUCUCAUGGCACACAGAUGCUGUCUCCUGUCCCCGGCCAAUGACUGGAUCCAUAACACCCCACUCUAUGUGUCCUCCCGCUACUGUGUGCCAAAAAGGUGCUUUGAAGUUCCUACACAUCAGUGUGGAAACUCAGCCUUGGGCUUAUUUUGUAAUGUUUCAGUGCUUUUCAUCCAGGAAGACUUACAAGUAGUUUGAGGCUGAGUUGGAAGAGAAAGGUGGACAUAGAGAUGCUGUGGUUUGCCAUACUGGCUUCCUUCACAGUAAGGUGGGAGGUCUGGAGACAGCUCUCCUCUUCAUGACCACCCUAUGGGCCCCUUGUCCAAAAAGAGCUCCUGCUCACCACCUCACCCCAUUGGUUUUGUGUUCUUAUUGCAGGAAAGGCAGCUCUUUGGAGCACUGCCUUCCCCCAGAUCUCUACCUCCUUGUGCUUCUCUUAGCUCAGACUUCAAAGGAAGCCAGCCCCUGUGGCACUUUCACUGAAGGGGAGAUAAAUGAGUCUGGGGAUUGUUCUCAUUUUUUUUUUUUUUUUUACUUAAAUCCCAUUGCUUCUGGUUCCCAGGAUCUCUUUCAACCUAUAGGGAGGUUUCAUCUGUAUCGCAUCUAAGCCAAAGGACCUCCUCAGGGUUUACCCCCUUAUGAAGGUAUUAAUGAAAAUAAAGGGACUGUGAUGUGACCCACGGUUCUGCCUAGAUGCAGGAUCAUUUACACUUUCUUUGAGAUCAGCUGGCAGGAAGCACUGCUCGUAUAUUAAAUGUCUCCUGCCUUUCUAUCCAGGAUCAUGGCUGGAGUUCUGCACAGAAGUGAGUGAUGAGGAGCUUCAGAAAUAGUUCAAAGGUCUGCCUGUUCCCCUGGUCAGCCAUGCUACAUGAUGGAGCGUAGCUGAAAAUGUUAUUAAUGUACCUACUAUUUUAGCAGAGCUCUUCAAAGUUCCCUGCUCUAAGAGUAGAACUGCUUACCACCGAUGUUAGAAUCAGAAUUGUUUGAGUUGGAAGGAUCUUUAAAGCUCCUCUAGUCCAACCCCACUGCAAUGAACAGGGACAGCUCCAUCAGGCUGUCCCUGCUCAUUCCCAUUUCUCACUUUUAAUGAAUCCAAAAAUGAGCUAUGAAAUAAACAUUAUCAGUAUAUUUGGACUUCGAAGGUAGUCUAAAGUUCUAGAAAUACUCCACAAAAAGCAUUACUUGGAUCAGAACAGAGUGCCCCUGAAGAGCAGAGGGGUUGAUAAAACACUGGUCGAAGGAGACAAAUGCUCCAUUAUGUUGUGUUUAUUUCCCAGCCUGCAGUUAGGCUGUGUGAACUUCUCACAGCUCUCCUGAGGCCAGGCAGGCUCCCAUAGAGCCCGUGGUCAAACAAGCCAUAAAUGUGGGCUGCAGAUGCUGGUUUAUGGGACAAUUGCACACACCCAACAGAUCCUCUCUGGUAAGUACAGAAAGUGUGGAGAUGUUGCUCCUCCUUCUCUGUGUCUCUUUUUUCUUCUUUGCUGCUUGUCACUCUGUUUUCACUCAUCACUUCCCAUUUAAGCAUCAGUACUGACACACCAGUGUGCUGGCUGCAGAUAACUGUAAUUGUUUAGGUGUUCCAAUCCUCUCAUAGUCUCCUCGGUAUCACCCAGAAGAAUUUAACAAAUCAGAACCUGAUAGGUAAAUUGCAGCCUUCAUCACCAUGGCUUGCAAAAUCAACCUCUUCCAUAACCACCUGGAAAAAAAACCCAACCCCAAUCUGCACAGCAAAGUGAACAUUUCCUCCAGAUAUCAGUGCCUCUGCAGCCCCAGCAAAGGUGAUGGCAGAUGCUGUCAUCCCUUAGGGUUGGUUUUCAUGGACUGAAAAUCAGCUUUCUCAGCUCUACUGAAAUCAGGCUGCAAUGCAAACCUCCCUAAGUUCUUCUCAAACUGAAGUCACUUGUUUGUGUUGACAGACGAUUACCUUCAAUCUUCCCUGUAAAGUCAUUUAUUGGAAAGAGCAAUCUUCCCUGUAAAGUCAUUUACUGGAAAGGAGUACAUCACUUCCCUGCCCCUAUUACAGUGAUCAAAACAGAGAUGGUUCCAGUGCGGAUGAGUAUUUGCAUUUUGGAAGCAAAGCCAAUGUGAAAGCACCAAGAGAAUUGAAGUUACCUGAUGCAUGUAGCUUCAACAUGCUCCUGCCCCAUAGCACACAAAACUUUGUGUCAGGAAACAAAAGGGUGGAGGACACAUUGCUGUAUCCUGGGUCCACCCUCCACCUCUUCCUCACAGAGGUGCAUCCACACAGCGUCCCCAACAUCCUCUUGUUCUGAUUUGUGUUUGAACGCUGAGAUAACAAAUGCAUGAUCACUCUGUAAAAUGUGAAAUGGAGAUGGAAGUAGAAUUUGUGGAGGGAGGAAAUGGGUUUUAUAGGACUGACUGAGGAGAGGUGAGCUCCGGGCAUGCAGACUCCAUCUAGAGGUGGACUAAGCUCUGCCAGUGUUGAGCUUGCCCCGUUUAUCCCAGAAAAGCACUGACUUUUCUCAUCUCCAAUCUAGUUUUGCAUUGUGAGAGCUGAUGUUUAACCCAGGCUAUUGGGAAACUGAGCUGGAUGCAUUUUUACCAACCAAGAUGAAGACUGGGGGGUGAAGGUACACCAAACUGCUGUCAUUAGAUGCUCUCCCAGAUCCAGAGGUCCGGAGGCUUCCCUUAAGCACACUGCCAGCACACCCCAGCCAUCUUCACCAGCUUUUCCUCUGCUCUGUGAUACCACAGCAACCCCACAAAGCAUUGCCAUACCUACACGAGAUACAGCCAUCUCAGCUACCUAUGACCACCGGGGACCUUGAGAGAAGCCAGCUUGUGAAAACGUCUUCAUCCAAACAACAGCAAGUAUAAUACUUUAACAGCAGAUGCAACAGGAAAAGCACAAUUGAUGGCUGCAUGGAGGUUUAUCUACACUGGAUAUCCAUCCUGCAUGGAAAAGAUAUUUUGCUGUCAGUAUUUUAUAAUACUCUUCUGAAAUGUGGGGUACAUAUUCUGGUGUUCAGAUAGCAACUGGUUCAAAGCUGACACAGUUACUACAACAUGGUCAUAUCCAAGGGACUUCCGCUACUUGACUUCUGCUUGAGCAUCAACCUCUUGGAAGGCUGAGAAAUGCCCCAUGGGAAUCCCAUUCCCUACAGUAUCUUUCUUCUCCUUGCACUGGUUUUAUUGGUAUCUUGAUUUUUUUAAUUACUUGGGAAUAUUUUCUGCCAGAUUGGAAGUGAUCUUACACAAGCAUUCUGCCAUUGUAAUACAUU
ensembl:lncRNA